rnacentral:rRNA from 1 species
GGGGAAUAUUGGACAAUGGGCGAAAGCCUGAUCCAGCCAUGCCGCGUGUGUGAAGAAGGUCUUCGGAUUGUAAGCACUUUAAGGUGGGGGGGAGGGCUGCAAGGUAAAAACUUGGUGUUUUGACGGUAACAACAGGAUAAACACCGGGUAACUUCGUGCCAGCAGCCGCGGUAAUACGAAGGGUGCAAGCGUUAAUCGGAAUUACUGGGCGUAAAGCGCGCGUAGGUGGUUUGGUAAGAUGGAUGUGAAAUUCCCCGGGCUCAACCUGGGAACUGCAUCCAUAACUGCCUGACUAGAGUACGGUAGAGGGUGGUGGAAUUUCCUGUGUAGCGGUGAAAUGUGUAGAUAUAGGAAGGAACACCAGUGGCGAAGGCGACCACCUGGACUGAUACUGACACUGAGGUGCGAAAGCGUGGGGAGCAAACA